ACGCACGCUGGCGGCGUGCUUAACACAUGCAAGUCGCACGGUAAGGCCCCUUCGGGGGUACACGAGUGGCGAACGGGUGAGUAACACGUGAGCAACCUGCCCUUGACUCUGGAAUAACAGUUGGAAACAGCUGCUAAUACUGGAUAUUCAUCGUCUCCUUCCUGGGGGGUGGUGGAAAGCUCCGGCGGUCAGGGAUGGGCUCGCGGCCUAUCAGCUUGUUGGUGAGGUAAUGGCUCACCAAGGCUUCGACGGGUAGCCGGCCUGAGAGGGCGACCGGCCACACUGGGACUGAGAUACGGCCCAGACUCCUACGGGAGGCAGCAGUGGGGAAUAUUGCACAAUGGGCGCAAGCCUGAUGCAGCAACGCCGCGUGCGGGAUGACGGCCUUCGGGUUGUAAACCGCUUUCAGUAGGGACGAAGGGUGACUGACGGUACCUACAGAAGAAGGACCGGCUAACUACGUG
rnacentral:rRNA from 1 species